GAUGAACGCUGGCGGCGUGCCUAAUACAUGCAAGUCGGGCGAAUGGAUUGAGAGCUUGCUCUUAUGAAGUUAGCGGCGGACGGGUGAGUAACACGUGGGUAACCUGCCCAUAAGACUGGGAUAACUCCGGGAAACCGGGGCUAAUACCGGAUAACAUUUUGAACCGCAUGGUUCGAAAUUGAAAGGCGGCUUCGGCUGUCACUUAUGGAUGGACCCGCGUCGCAUUAGCUAGUUGGUGAGGUAACGGCUCACCAAGGCAACGAUGCGUAGCCGACCUGAGAGGGGGAUCGGCCACACUGGGACUGAGACACGGCCCAGACUCCUACGGGAGGCAGCAGUAGGGAAUCUUCCGCAAUGGACGAAAGUCUGACGGAGCAACGCCGCGUGAGUGAUGAAGGCUUUCGGGUCGUAAAACUCUGUUGUUAGGGAAGAACAAGUGCUAGUUAAAUAAGCUGGCACCUUAACGGUACCUAACCAGAAAGCCACGGCUAACUACGUGCCAGCCGCCGCGGUAA
rnacentral:rRNA from 1 species